rnacentral:piRNA from 1 species
UUGAAAGAAACACUAGUGGCAGGUUC